GGUCUGUGACUACUGGUGUGUUUCUAUUGUCGUAAAGGUCAGUGACUACUGGUGUGUUUCUGUUGUCAUAAAGGUCUGUGACUACUGGUGUGUUUCUGUUGUCAUAAAGGUCUGUGACUACUGGUGUGUUUCUGUUGUCAUAAAGGUCUGUGACUACUGGUGUGUUUCUGUUGUCAUAAAGGUCUGUGACUACUGGUGUGUUUCUGUUGUCAUAAAGGUCUGUGACUACUGGUGUG